GCCGGAGUGAUGAAAUUGGCAAACAUGCACGACUCAAAAUCGUGUGCUGAAAAGCUUGUGGGUUCAAGUCCCACCUCCGGCAACA
rnacentral:tRNA from 1 species